CUGCUGUCUGCUCGGCCUCCGGGUCGCCCCCCUGAACUUUGUCAUGAGGCCUGUUUUGUUUUAGAUCUUCCAUU